rnacentral:antisense_RNA from 1 species
CUUCAACGAGCCCAACAGGAGCGGUUGUUCGCGAUCCUGGCCGUAGGUCGCCAGCAGCGCCUGCGCCUC